AAUGAAACAAAUUUUGCACAGCAUGAAAUUAUUCCUGCCACGUACGGCGUUCGGUGGCAGAUUUUUGAGUUUGGACCACAAACAAGGCUCGGCAGCACGGAGAGGAGGGGGCGGGGAGGAAAACACCACCAAAGGAUGCCCCUGAUGUUGCUGAUCUCUUACUCCUGCCCUACUGGUGAGGUUCAGGAUGGAAACGCUUUUAUGGCUGAGUUGGACAGUGCCUCCAGAAGGGAUGGUGGUCACUCUGGAGCAACCCAUGAACAGAAGGUUUUGGCCCUAUUUGAGCUGUGCACAGCCACUGCCCUACAGCAUUAGUGGAAACUGCCUUUCCC
ensembl:lncRNA